rnacentral:rRNA from 1 species
UACGUAGGGUGCGAGCGUUAAUCGGAAUUACUGGGCGUAAAGAGUGCGUAGGCGGUUCGUUAUGUCUGCUGUGAAAGCCCCGGGCUUAACCCGGGAAUGGCAGUGGAAACUGGCGGGCUUGAGUGUGGCAGAGGGGGGUGGAAUUCCGCGUGUAGCAGUGAAAUGCGUAGAGAUGCGGAGGAACACCGAUGGCGAAGGCAGCCCCCUGGGCUAACACUGACGCUGAGGCACGAAAGCGUGGGUAGCAAACAGG